rnacentral:rRNA from 1 species
UAACGCUAGCGAUACACCUAACACAUGCAAGUUGAACGCAUAUAUUUUUAUAUGAGUAGCGAACGGGUGCGUAACACGUGAGAAUCUACCCAUAGCUUAUGGUUAAAUGCCAUAGAAUCUUAUAGAUUUAGAUAUAUAUCGGUUAUGGAUGAGCUUGUGGGGUAUUAGGUAGUUGGUGUGGUAAUGGCGCACCAAGCCCAAGAUGCCUAGCCGGUUUGAGAGAACGAUCGGCCACACUGGGACUGAGACACGGCCCAGACGCUUACGAGCGGCAGCAGUGGGGAAUAUUGGACAAUGGGCGAAAGCCUGAUCCAGUGAUAUCGCUUUGGGGAUGACGGCGACAUACGUUGUAAACCCAAUGAAGUACGUUUAGAUUAUGACCGUACGUAUUUUAGAAGUCCCGGCUA